rnacentral:rRNA from 1 species
UACGGGGGGAGCAAGCGUUGUUCGGAUUUACUGGGCGUAAAGCGUGCGCAGGCGGCUUUGCAAGACAGAUGUGAAAUCCCCGGGCUUAACCCUGGAAAGGCCGUGGAAACUGAAUAGCUAGAGUGCAGUAGGGGUAGAGGGAAUUCCCGGUGUAGCGGUGAAAUGCGUAGAGCUCGGGAAGAACAUCGGUGGCGAAAGCGCUCUGCUGGACUGCAACUGACACUCAGGGACGAAAGCUAGGGGAGCGAAUGGG